UGGUGUCUUUUGUCUGAUAGUUUGUGAUGAAAGGGACGGUUCUUGAAAUAUCAUGGCAUGAAAAAGAGCCAGUACUUAGUGUGCAUUGUAGUGCAAAACGAUUUGCAACUGCUGGUGCUGAUAACGAUGUAAAGUUAUGGUCUAUGCCAGUUCGUGAAGAGGCCAAUUGCUCUAAAAUUUUUUUCAUUUCUUCCCUGUCUUGUCACAAAGCAACUGUAAAUGUUGUUCGGUUUUCCCCUUGUGAAAACUUUAUUUCUUCUGGCAGUGAUGAUGGAACAAUUAUUAUUUGGAAACAAAAUCAAGAACUUUCUCCCAAAGAUGUGGAGAGUGGUCAUUUAGAAGGCUGGCAAGUUUUGCACGUUUUAAGGAUGCAUAGAGGUGACGUCUACGACUUGUGCUGGUCCCCUUGUGGCAAGUUUAUUGUCUCAGCAUCUAUUGAUAAUGUUGCCGUAGUGUGGGAUGCCUUUAAAGCAAAACCUCUUCAACAACUUAUGGAACAUCGUCAUUACGUUCAAGGUAUAACCUGGGAUCCUUUAAAUAACUUUAUUGCCUCUCAAAGCAGUGACAGAACUUGUCGUAUUUACAAAGUUAAAGAAAAGGGGCAUGGGACUGUCAGUUGCAAGUUCAGCUUCAACAUUGACUUUUUAACUCUUCAGCUGGAUGAAGAUACCGUCGUUAAGAAGCGCCUUUUUGCUGACGAGACGUUAAAUACUUUUUUUCGACGGCUUGAAUUCUCGCCCGAUGGUCGACUUUUGUUGACUCCUGCAGGUUUAAAAGAGAAGGAGUACUGCGUUUACGGCUUCGCUAGACAGAAUCUAUCAAGGCCAGUUAUAUGCUUUCCUGGCCUCGAAAAACCCGCUGUAGCAGUGCGUUUCUGCCCUGUAAAGUUUAAUCGUUUGCCGUUAAAAGGCGCACCUCUCUUCGACUUACCAUACCGUCACGUGUUUUCCGUAGUCACGUUAAACUCUGUGCUUUUAUAUGACACCCAACAUAGCCAUCCCUUCGCUGCUCUUGCAAACUUACACUACGCAUCACUUACAGAUGCAUCGUGGUCCCCUGACGGUUCGAUGCUGUUCGUUUCCUCGAGAGAUGGCUAUUGCAGCAUAAUUAAUUUUGAUUCAGGAGAACUUGAAGCUGUCACUUUUCAGCGUACGAAUGAAUUAGAGAAUCCUCGGAGGCUCUUUAAAAGAGAAACUUGCCAAGUUUAUGUUGAACUUUAAAUUCUUGUACUUUCUGACACGAGUAGAGAGCUUAGAACACCCACGAGUGGGAAGUGACUAUGGCUGAUCUCUGCACGGUGACUGGGACCGUUGCGGCACGCGUAGCCUAACUACUGUAGAUGCUGGCCUUACAUACUACCUUUUCGGGAAGUACAUUCGUAAAAUACUUACCGCUCGCGUACACAAAGGCGGUCAAAGAUUAGCAAUAUACUUGCCCCAGCUAGUAUAACACCUUAAAAGUAGCUUACUCUACUAUUGUUUUUGUUAGGUUUUGGUGUGCUAAAAGUAGUCAAGCUGUCUUCGCUUCCACAAUGUCUUUCAUAAUGCGGAUUGAGCCAUCAUUGGCCAGAGUAAUUUUCAGGAUGAAGGUCCAC